AUUGAACGCUGGCGGCAGGCCUAACACAUGCAAGUCGAGCGGAUGAAGAGAGCUUGCUCUCUGAUUCAGCGGCGGACGGGUGAGUAAUGCCUAGGAAUCUGCCUGGUAGUGGGGGACAACGUUUCGAAAGGAACGCUAAUACCGCAUACGUCCUACGGGAGAAAGCAGGGGACCUUCGGGCCUUGCGCUAUCAGAUGAGCCUAGGUCGGAUUAGCUAGUAGGUGGGGUAAUGGCUCACCUAGGCGACGAUCCGUAACUGGUCUGAGAGGAUGAUCAGUCACACUGGAACUGAGACACGGUCCAGACUCCUACGGGAGGCAGCAGUGGGGAAUAUUGGACAAUGGGCGAAAGCCUGAUCCAGCCAUGCCGCGUGUGUGAAGAAGGUCUUCGGAUUGUAAAGCACUUUAAGUUGGGAGGAAGGGCAGUAAGUUAAUACCUCGCUGUUUUGACGUUACCAACAGAAUAAGCACCGGCUAACUUCGUGCCAGCCGCCGCGGUAAAAC
rnacentral:rRNA from 1 species